rnacentral:rRNA from 1 species
AGCGAACGCUGGCGGCAGGCCUAAUACAUGCAAGUCGAGCGGUUCCUUCGGGAACAGCGGCGGACGGGUGAGUAACGCGUGGGAACGUGCCCUUUGGUACGGAACAACUGAGGGAAACUUCAGCUAAUACCGUAUGUGCCCUUCGGGGGAAAGAUUUAUCGCCAUUGGAGCGGCCCGCGUUAGAUUAGCUAGUUGGUAGGGUAAUGGCCUACCAAGGCGACGAUCUAUAGCUGGUCUGAGAGGAUGAUCAGCCACACUGGGACUGAGACACGGCCCAGACUCCUACGGGAGGCAGCAGUAGGGAAUCUUGCGCAAUGGGCGAAAGCCUGACGCAGCCAUGCCGCGUGAAUGAUGAAGGUCUUAGGAUUGUAAAAUUCUUUCACCGGGGACGAUAAUGACGGUACCCGGAGAAGAAGCCCCGGCUAACUUCGUGCCAGCAGCCGCGGUAAUACGAAGGGGGCUAGCGUUGCUCGGAAUUACUGGGCGUAAAGGGAGCGUAGGCGGAUAGUUUAGUCAGAGGUGAAAGCCCAGGGCUCAACCUUGGAAUUGCCUUUGAUACUGGCUAUCUUGAGUAUGGAAGAGGUAUGUGGAACUCCGAGUGUAGAGGUGAAAUUCGUAGAUAUUCGGAAGAACACCAGUGGCGAAGGCGACAUACUGGUCCAUUACUGACGCUGAGGCUCG